CACCCCUAGAUCCUCGGUGAUUUCAGAACUGUUCUCUGCAGAACCAUCGUGAGGUCGGGGUGCCAUGGUGAAGUGAGUUUGAGGAGAGGGCUUGAGGCGGGACAAACGGAUUUCUGAACCGCAAGGAGUCUAGAGCCUUGACUGGCCUGCUGCGCUGUGUCCGAACCAGGAGCAUCUAAGCAACGCUUUGCAGCUGGGGGUGUGGUUGGAGCUAAAUGCUUAACUUGACCAUGAAAAAAAUCAGGACUGGAUUCUCAGAGAAGAAACAUUUUCAGGGGUUGUAGCUGCUGGGAGCGCCGUCAGAUGGUGGCCCUCAGCUGUUAGCCAGUGGAGUUUGCCGCAGCUAAAGGAGUCUGCCUGGUGAUCUGAAGAUCACACCUCCUUCCAGUGGCAACCUGCUUUGAAAGGCCCUCUUGCCCUAAUUUGGGACAACUCUGAAAGGCUGCCCCCCAGGCCCGGAGCCCCACAUGGGUUGGCUGAUGACUGUAUCACGCCUCCGCUUCUCCCUUUGUCUAACCCUGCUUCCCCCUUUCCCUUCACAAGUAUUGAUCCUGAGAGCGGCCCUUAAUCAGCUCCUUCCCUGGGAACACGACCUACAACAGCCCGUGAAACUUGGGUCGUGACCAGAUGAGAUAAUUUGUAUUUAUAGGCCGGUGAGGUCAAUGAACGACAAAACUUGGGUUAUGAAAAGUACUCCAUCUUAUUAAUACCAAACUGUAAUUAUGAGCAUCUUGCUAGUUGUCCAUUGAUUUUUUUUUUUUUUUUUUUAGCUGUCAGUUGAUUUUGGUUAAAAUGUACAUAUAGGGAGCAAAGGGGACUCUUCCUGAGAGUUCUUAAAUACUUGGCAGUCUGGACACACCUCACUUCAGAUGCCAGAUUUCCAACUCUGCUUGCAAUUCUCAGUUUGGAUUUUAGCCAUUUCAUAAAAGAGAAUGCAUUUUCA